CGCGACACCAUUCACUCUCUCAGUCUCACUCACACUCUGCUGUAAUUUUCGGGAGGAGAUUUGGAAGAUUCUCGCUGUCUUCGUAGUCAAGGCUAAGUCAAGUUACAGCACUUCCAGAAGAUAUUGUUUUCCCCCUGAGGACGCUCUUUGAGGUUGCUGCAAUGGAGCAGAAAUUGGCAGACCCCACCUUCCACAAACAAGUGGUUGGCGUGGUGGCAGAAAUUGGAGGAAGAACAUUGGAUGAAGCCACCAGAAGAAUGAUGGCCUUCCUUUUAGACCACUCCCUAUCAAGAGAGUACAAUUUUGUUGGCUGCCAUGGAAAGCGAGAGUUUCGGGGCUCAAACUGUUUGAGGUUGUAUAUGGAAGCUUGAAAAAAAGUGCCCUUACAAACCAGAUUACUAGAAGAGAUGCUGAAAAGGCAGUGUCAAAGUGGCUAAUUGGUGCCAGGGACAGGGGAGGAAACCGUACAGCGAGGGCACGUGGUGGAGAGCAAGAUGGGGCCGUUGGGAGAGCGACAACAGAGGACUGAGAUUCUGCACUUUUGUUUUUGUAUGUGAAAUAUAAAGUUUGUCAAAAGCCUUCACUUUUGAUACUUGUCUGUUAAUACACAUAUGUUAAUAAAUAUUCUGUUAAUAAAG
ensembl:lncRNA